CGGACGUUUUAGAGUGCAACACAAAGGAGUCACGCUUGCAAGAUUUCAACACUGACGGUUGGUACAGGUUUUUGUGUGUUAGCAGUGGAGUAAACCAUGGAGGUUUACGCCACUUUACACCAUGGAGGUCCUGGGAGGACAGUUUAGCGACAUGACUCCACAGGAGCUGGCGGCUCCUGUCAACACCGUAGCUAGGACUGAUCCUCACUGCAGGCAUCACUGUCUGGUAUGGGAACAACACACAGGUAGAGAGGAAGGCUCUGCAAAGAGUCAUAAAGACUGCAGAGAGAUCAUAGGGACAAAACUUCCUUCCAUGAACUCUGUACACACAAUGCUGCCGAAAAAGAGCAGAGCAAAUUAUCUGGGACUCACCAUCCAGCUCACUCUCUGCUGAGACACAAAAACUAUACAAUGUGAGACACAACAGAGCGGACCGGAACAUUACACACAGAACAAGGUUUUUCAACAGCUUCUUCCCCGCCACUGUCAGACUGAUGGCAAAAUAAAACACUGGACACGUAAAAUAACACACAACACUACCUCACCUCACUUCGAAUGUACAAUGGGAUAAAUCACUGUCUGUUUAAUGUACAAUAUGCUUACUGAAACUGAUUUGAGAAACAGGUGCAAUAUUAGGUAAAAUAUUCUAAAUGUCAAAAUGUGCAAUAUUAUGUGUGAAAUACCCAGAAUGGUAUUUAUAGAGUUUUCAUGUAGUAAAUACUGUUAGUAGAUUGCUCUAUUUUUCGCUUUAUGUCUACUUUUUACUUGCUUUGUUUCCACCUCUCAAAAAUGUAACUUGUAACUUACCCACAGAACUUGUGACCUGUUCAGAAAAUAUAACCCACAGGAUUUGAGAGAAAAGGGACCAGUAAGUGCAAAAUGCAAACUUAUUUCAGGCAUUUCAGGUUUGUUCUUGCAGCACUUUCUAGAAGCACAUAUGUAGCCUAGGGUUGCUUACUGUGCCCAUUCUUAGAUGGGUCUUUAACCACAGUAAAACUACACUCAUACAUGAAGAAUACAAAACUCAAACGUCAUUCAAAACCUAGAAAGGAUACGAUGCAAGGGACAAAAAGUUGAAAGGAGGGACAUAAAGCAAUAAACUCAAAAAUAGUUUUUUGAGUUUUGAUCUUCACCUUCUUGCUGAGUGUUAUAAGAGCACUGCUGCCUCUCAUGUUUGUGCAGGACAUCUGAAGCUACAGCCAGUGUUUGGCUGGCUUAUCAUAGCACAGAGGAGGCCUCUACGUGCUAGUAGUAACCCCCUCAAACCCUCAGCCUGUUGUUUGAUACAAGCUGGUUUUUGUAAAUAAGCUCCCUGCCUUCAUAUUUACAGAUGUGACAAAUUUAAAUCACCCCCCAAAAAUAAACUGGUGUUCAAAAUGACACCUUUUCAUGCAAAUGUAGACUGGAUGCUAACUUUCUGACUGUUUAUUAAACAGAAAUGUUCAUGAUGCUCAAGUAAAUAAAACUGAUUCACAAAACUGUUAAAAAAUAAUAAUUUUGGGGAAAGAGGACUUUUCAGUCUGUUGUCAGCCUGGUUCAGUCUAAGCGUUGUUUUCCAUAAAUUGCAAGCUCAAAAAGUGCUUUGUCUCACUCCCACUUCUUGUCGCAUGUUGAAGCUCAACUUGGAACUUUGUUAAGAUCCAACCAUGCAAAAUAUUAUUUUUUGGUCAUUUUUCAAGUGGUCUUAAACUUUUGACUGGGGCUGUACAUUAAUUCUCUCCCUCUUUCAGUCACAGUCCCUGCAUUUAAAAUCCAACUCGAUAGACCGAUAGACCAGCCUUCAAACUAAGACGCGUGAUGUAUAAAAGUCUUUCUACUGAGUAAAGGACAGUUUGAGUUUCCUGCUGGCACCAUGCACUGUCUUCACAAGUUUCUUCUUUGUUUUCUACCAUGUCUACAAGGCAUCAGUGAGACAUCAAAGACAUACCUGAUUUAUCUUACGGCUGUAAACGGCACACUAACUUUAUCAUCUUCUUUUUUUUUUUAUUUACCAGAGUUUGCAACAGGAAUUAUUCAUGGAACAAAAGCUCCAGAGAACUCGAUACCCUACAUGGGAUCGGUGCAGAAUAACAAGGGUCAACAUGUCUGUGGAGAAUUCCUCAUCACGGUUGUGACCGGUUGUGAGUUAGAUUUCUUGUUCAUGAAGUUCAUCCAAAAACAAGCUUUUUCAAACUUGUGUUUAUUGAUCAAGUCACUCUAAGUUAUUGAUAAGGCAGAUGUUAUUUCGAGGGAAAAUAAAACACAAUUAAGUGCAAUAGCAUCAAAUAAAAAUGACCUUUGACCUCUCACAGCCGUUGGUUACAGCACUGCUGACAUUAACCUGCUUGUAACGAUUGCGUAAUGAGAAAUAAAGACAUCAGUUUAAAAUUGUUGACAUUUUUAAUUCCCUCUCAAUGAUUACUCACACAGUGACCGCACACACUGAUCAUCCCAAAGUAAAGAUUGAGAGAAAAUGAAAUCCAUGAAGAAUACAAAAAGUUUUUACAGAGUUUUUACAUUAAAAUAUGUUACUAUAUGUGUUACUAUUCUAUGGCUGGAUGGGGAAUAACUGAAACUGAUGGCGAACCUGUUGAUGAGCCG
ensembl:lncRNA